rnacentral:rRNA from 1 species
CACGGGGGGAGCAAGCGUUGUUCGGAAUCACUGGGCGUAAAGGGCGUGUAGGCGGCCAGGUAAGUGGAAUGUGAAAGCCCCCGGCUCACCCGGGGAUCUGCAUCCCAAACUGCCUGGCUUGAGUACGGGAGAGGAUGAGGGAAUUCCUGGUGUAGCGGUGAAAUGCGUAGAUAUCAGGAGGAACACCGGUGGCGAAGGCGCUCAUCUGGCCCGAUACUGACGCUGAGGCGCGAAAGCUAGGGGAGCAAACGGG